CCUGAGCUAUCCGAAGCAUUCUUAUCUUUUUACAAGACACGCAAAGAGCAUUUAACAAGUGUGCAAGCUGCAGAAAGAAUCAAGUACAAUCGCAAGAUCAAGAAAGCUUACAAUCGCCCUUCCUUUAUUAUCAACAUAACCCAAGCAAGCAACCAACUGUUCAUUAUGAUACACAUCACUGGACUCAUCUAAAUUCAUACCUUCUGUGUUGCGGCAUGGGGGUGAAGAGGAGGGGCAGACGGAAGGCUGGGCACCGCAGCGGCUAGCGCGACUGUUGUUCCCUUCGACUCCGAGCACCAGCGCUAGAGCCGGGGCGGCUCCAAGGCAGGCAACAACAAGUGGGGCCGGUGCGCCAUCG
rnacentral:lncRNA from 1 species